rnacentral:miRNA from 1 species
UCACCGGGCAUUCCUACGACUGA